rnacentral:lncRNA from 10 species
AGAUACUGAGUUUGGUUCUAGAAACGCUUAAGGCAGCUGUAUGGGGCAGGCUCCAGACCCCAAGGGAAAAAUGGAUCACUUGGUGGAAUAAGACUGAUUAUUUAAGCUAAGGCAGUGGAUGAAAAAUCCUAGAGAGAGGCUGAGAUCUACAACAUGAACAAAGACAAAUGGCCAAGUUCAUGUCAUGGUUUAGACCCAGCUCUGCAGGAAGAGAAAUGCAUUUUUUUUCCUUGCCACAAAUCAUUCUCAGAAAGGCCAAAGCAGGUGUGAGCCACCGCACCCAGUCUAAACAAUCUUAAUUGAUGUCAUUAGAUAUCC